GGCGAACGCUGGCGGCGUGCUUAACACAUGCAAGUCGAACGAAGAGCGAUGGAAGCUUGCUUCUAUCAAUCUUAGUGGCGAACGGGUGAGUAACGCGUAAUCAACCUGCCCUUCAGAGGGGGACAACAGUUGGAAACGACUGCUAAUACCGCAUACGAUCUAAACUCGGCAUCGAGGAUAGAUGAAAGGUGGCCUCUACAUGUAAGCUAUCACUGAAGGAGGGGAUUGCGUCUGAUUAGCUAGUUGGAGGGGUAACGGCCCACCAAGGCGAUGAUCAGUAGCCGGUCUGAGAGGAUGAACGGCCACAUUGGGACUGAGACACGGCCCAGACUCCUACGGGAGGCAGCAGUGGGGAAUCUUCCGCAAUGGACGAAAGUCUGACAGAGCAACGCCGCGUGAGUGAUGACGGCCUUCGGGUUGUAAAGCUCUGUUAAUCGGGACGAAAGGCCUUCUUGCGAAUAGUGAGAAGGAUUGACGGUACCGGAAUAGAAAGCCACGGCUAACUACGUG
rnacentral:rRNA from 1 species